rnacentral:tRNA from 1 species
UGGGGCGUAGCCAAGCGGUAAGGCACCGGUUUUUGGUACCGGCACGCGGAGGUUCGAAUCCUCCCGCCCCAGCCA